rnacentral:rRNA from 1 species
UACGUAGGGUGCGAGCGUUGUCCGGAAUUAUUGGGCGUAAAGAGCUCGUAGGCGGCCAGUUGCGUCUGCUGUGAAAUCCCGGGGCUCAACCCCGGGCGUGCAGUGGAUACGGGCUGGCUAGAGGCAGGCAGGGGAGAAUGGAAUUCCCGGUGUAGCGGUGAAAUGCGCAGAUAUCGGGAGGAACACCGGUGGCGAAGGCGGUUCUCUGGGACGUUACUGACACUGAGAUGCGAAAGCGUGGGGAGCAAACAGG